GCAGUCACAAGCCAAGAUGUGCCCGCCCGAUAAAGGCGAGAGGCUCUGCUUGUAGCACAGUCGCUACCAUAGUCCCGAUGCCCUUUCUGGUUAGUGAUGCCAUCAUUGUCCCGAGGCACGUUCUGGCAAGG